AUUAUCCAUGUGGUAGAAUGAGCUAUUGGUCUCAAUAUUUGAAGUGGACUUUUACUAUGCUGUUCAGGCUCAUCUCAAGCUCCUCAGCUACAGUAUCAUCCAUUGUACCCCAGGGAGCCCAGGGGUGGUCUCAGUACCUCAUCCCAGUCUACUCAUGUGAGAUCCUCAUCCGCAGGGUCAACUUCUGUGUCCCUUGACCUUGGACUUGGCAUGUGAUAUCUCUUGGCUGGUUGUUAUGGAAGUCUGGCCACAGUUACCAGAAGAAACAAAGAAUACCUUUUUCAUCAGCCAGAGGUGCCACUGAUUCCUGUGCAUCCCUGGGAAGAGGGCUGGGAGGAAGCCACAGAGAACUGUCCUCAUCUGCAGAGUGUGGGUGCUUCUUCCCACACAGCUCCAGCAAAGUGUCUGCAAAUGAACUAGCAAGACUGGAUUCCCAGAUUUGUGCAAUUCCAUGGUUAGGAGCCCAACCCAAGAAUCCAAAGUGGAGAUGUGGACAAAUAUAUACAUAGAUGAUACAGA